UAAAAAGCUCGUAGUUGAAAUUGUGUCCUGCGGUGUCGGUCUACCGACUGCGGUACGACAGGCACGUCUGCGGGGCUUCUCGCCGGUGCGUCCACCGCCGGUGCGUGUCGCGGCCUUCCUAAUCGUUGGCCGCGCGCGUCGAGGCGGGCCGUCGCGGCUGUUUACUUUGAACAAAUUAGAGUGCUCAAAGCGGGCUAACACUUGCCUGAAUAUUGUACGCAUGGAAUAAUAGAAUAGGACCUCGGUUCUGUUUUGUUGGCUUUCUGAUACCAGAGGUAAUGAUUAAUAGGGACAACUGGGGGCAUUCGUAUUGCGACGUUAGAGGUGAAAUUCUUGGAUCGUCGCAAGACGGACUAAAGCGAAAGCAUUUGCCAAAGGUGUUUUCAUUAAUCAAGAACGAAAGUUAGAGGUUCGAAGGCGAUUAGAUACCGCUGUAGUUCUAACCAUAAAUGAUGCCAGCCAGCGAUCCGCCGAAGUUUCAUAAUUUUAACCCGGUGGGCAGCUCCCGGGAAACCAAAGCUUUCGGGCUCCGGGG
rnacentral:rRNA from 1 species